rnacentral:sRNA from 1 species
ACUAAGGCUGGUUAAGGCUACCUGUCAGCUUGUGGCCGGAAAUAUGUAUCGAUUCACUAUUGAGGUGAGCGGUGGGCAAACGAUUGACGAAUGUACAGUUAAAGUAUGGAGUAGACCAUGGCUACCCAAGCAAGAAGCCACAAAAACGACAGUACUAGAUUGUGUACCAAAAAUGUAAAGUGUCUCUUUUAUGAAAAGCCUUCUAGGCCUAAGAUGUUUUGUCUAAAUUGUAAGAAACUGUUAUAUCAAAAUUAUA